UCAAGACACAUUUCUGUGGUCCUUCAACUGU
rnacentral:piRNA from 1 species